AGUGAACGCUGGCGGUAGGCCUAACACAUGCAAGUCGAACGGCAGCACAGUAAGAGCUUGCUCUUACGGGUGGCGAGUGGCGGACGGGUGAGGAAUACAUCGGCAUCUACUUUUUCGUGGGGGAUAACGUAGGGAAACUUACGCUAAUACCGCAUACGACCUACCGGUGAAAGCAGGGGAUCUUCGGACCUUGCGCGAUUGAAUGAGCCGGUGUCGGAUUAGCUAGGUGGCGGGGUAAAGGCCCACCAAGGCGACGAUCCGUAGCUGGUCUGAGAGGAUGAUCAGCCACACUGGAACUGAGACACGGUCCAGACUCCUACGGGAGGCAGCAGUGGGGAAUAUUGGACAAUGGGCGCAAGCCUGAUCCAGCCAUACCGCGUGGGUGAAGAAGGCCUUCGGGUUGUAAAGCCCUUUUGUUGGGAAAGAAAAGCAGCAGGUUAAUCCCCCGCUGUUCUGACGGUACCCAAAGAAUAAGCACCGGCUAACUUCGUG
rnacentral:rRNA from 1 species